UGGGGAAUCUUGGACAAUGGGCGCAAGCCUGAUCCAGCCAUGCCGCGUGGAUGAUGAAGGCCUUAGGGGUUGUAAAAAUCCUUUCGUUGGGGACGAUAAUGACGGUACCCAAAGAAGAAGCUCCGGCUAACUUCGUGCCAGCAGCCGCGGUAAUACGAAGGGGGCUAGCGUUGUUCGGAUUUACUGGGCGUAAAGCGCGUGUAGGCGGGUCGUUAAGUUGGGGGUGAAAUCCCGAGGCUCAACCUCGGAACUGCCUUCAAAACUGGCGACCUGGACCUAAGUAGAGGCAAGUGGAAUUGCGAGUGUAGAGGUGAAAUUCGUAGAUAUUCGCAGGAACACCAGUGGCGAAGGCGACUUGCUGGACUUAUGGUGACGCUGAGACGCGAAAGCGUGGGGAGCAAACAGGAUUAGAUACCCCCGUAGUCCCUGAGCGGGCUGGCAAGGCGCAU
rnacentral:rRNA from 1 species